rnacentral:rRNA from 1 species
CCUACGGGAGGCAGCAGUGGGGAAUAUUGCGCAAUGGGCGAAAGCCUGACGCAGCGACGCCGCGUGAGGGAUGAAGGUCUUCGGAACGUAAACCUCUGUCAGCAGGGAAGAACGGUCACUGUGCUAAUCAGCAGUGAAUUGACGGUACCUGCAAAGGAAGCACCGGCUAACUCCGUGCCAGGAGCCGCGGUAAUACGGAGGGUGCGAGCGUUAAUCGGAAUUACUGGUCGUAAAGAGCUCGUAGGCGGUAUGUCAAGUUAAGGGUGAAAUCCCCGCGCUCAACGUGGGAACUGCCUGUGAAACUGGCAAACUGGAGGGUGUGAGAGGAUAGUGGAAUUCCAGGUGGAGGAGGGA